UACGAAGGGGGCUAGCGUUGUUCGGAAUCACUGGGCGUAAAGCGUAUGCAGGCGGAUCGUUAAGUCGGGGGUGAAAUCCCGAGGCUCAACCUCGGAACUGCCUUCGAUACUGGCGAUCUUCGAGUCCGGGAGAGGUGAGUGGAAUUCCGAGUGUAGAGGUGAAAUUCGUAGAUAUUCGCAAGAACACCAGUGGCGAAGGCGGCUCACUGGCCCGGUACUGACGCUGAGGUGCGAAAGCGUGGGGAGCAAACAGG
rnacentral:rRNA from 1 species